rnacentral:rRNA from 1 species
AUACGGAGGAUGCAAGCGUUAUCCGGAAUGAUUGGGCGUAAAGGGUCCGCAGGUGGAACUGAAAGUCUGCUGUUAAAGAAUCUGGCUCAACCAGAUAAAAGCAGUGGAAACUACAGAACUAGAGUAUGGUAGGGGUAGAAGGAAUUCCUAGUGUAGCGGUGAAAUGCGUAGAUAUUAGGAAGAACACCGGUGGCGAAAGCGUUCUACUAGACCAAGACUGACACUGAGGGACGAAAGCUAGGGGAGCGAAUGGGAUUAGAUACCCCAGUAGUCCUAGCCGUAAACGAUGGAUACUAGGCGUGGCUUGUAUCGACCCGAGCCGUGCCGGAGCCAACGCGUUAAGUAUCCCGCCUGGGGAGUACGCACGCAAGUGUGAA